AAGGAGUCUACCAUAUAUGCGAGUAUUUUAGUGGUAAACUCUUAUGCGUAAUGAAAGUGAAAAGGUGGGAUCUGUAAAAAGUUCACCAUCGACCGCGCCAGAUUAUUGCUAUCUCGGCGUGUGUAUGAGCAUAUCUGUUGGGACCCGAAAGAUGGUGACCUAUGCAUGAAUAGGGUGAGGCCAGAGAAAACUCUGGUGGAGGCUCGUAGCGGUUCGGACGUGAAAAUGGAUCGUCAAAGUUGGGUAUAGGGGUGAAAGACUAAUCGAACCAUCUAGUAGCUGGUUCCCUC
rnacentral:misc_RNA from 1 species